UACGUAGGGUGCGAGCGUUAAUCGGAAUUACUGGGCGUAAAGCGUGCGCAGGCGGCUUCGCAAGUCAGACGUGAAAUCCCCGGGCUUAACCUGGGAAUGGCAUUUGGGACUGCAAGGCUUGAGUGCGGCAGAGGAGACUGGAAUUCCUGGUGUAGCAGUGAAAUGCGUAGAUAUCAGGAGGAACACCGAUGGCGAAGGCAGGUCUCUGGGCUGACACUGACGCUCAUGCACGAAAGCGUGGGGAGCAAACAGG
rnacentral:rRNA from 1 species